rnacentral:rRNA from 1 species
CCUACGGGUGGCAGCAGUGGGGGAUAUUGCACAAUGGGGGGAACCCUGAUGCAGCGACGCCGCGUGGGUGAAGAAGCGCCUCGGCGCGUAAAGCCCUGUCAGCAGGGAAGAAAAUGACGGUACCUGAAGCAGAAGCACCGGCGAACUACGUGCUAGCAGCCGCGGUAAUACGUAGGGGGCAAGCUUUAUCCGGAUUUCCUUGGUGUCAAGGGGGCGCAGACGGGGCUGCAAGCCAGGAGUGAAAGCCCGGGGGACAGCCCCGGGACUGAUCUUGGAACUGCGUGGCGGGAGUGCAGGAGGGGCAGGCGGAAUUCCUGGUGUCGCGGUGAAAUGCGUAGAUAUCAGGAGGAACACCGGUGGCGAAGGCGGCCUGCUGGACUGCAACUGACGUUGAGGCCCGAAAGCGUGGGGAGCAAACAGGAUUAGAUACCCCAGUAGUC